GACGAACGCUGGCGGCGUGCCUAAUACAUGCAAGUCGAGCGCUGAAGGUUGGUACUUGUACCGACUGGAUGAGCAGCGAACGGGUGAGUAACGCGUGGGGAAUCUGCCUUUGAGCGGGGGACAACAUUUGGAAACGAAUGCUAAUACCGCAUAAAAACUUUAAACACAAGUUUUAAGUUUGAAAGAUGCAAUUGCAUCACUCAAAGAUGAUCCCGCGUUGUAUUAGCUAGUUGGUGAGGUAAAGGCUCACCAAGGCGAUGAUACAUAGCCGACCUGAGAGGGUGAUCGGCCACAUUGGGACUGAGACACGGCCCAAACGCCUACGGGAGGCAGCAGUAGGGAAUCUUCGGCAAUGGACGAAAGUCUGACCGAGCAACGCCGCGUGAGUGAAGAAGGUUUUCGGAUCGUAAAACUCUGUUGGUAGAGAAGAACGUUGGUGAGAGUGGAAAGCUCAUCAAGUGACGGUAACUACCCAGAAAGGGACGGCUAACUACGUG
rnacentral:rRNA from 1 species